GAUGCCAAGGGAGGACGGGCUAACCCGCGCCGUGUGUUGGGGAGUUACACAACCAGUCCGGGCGGAUUGCGCGCUGCAAAUGUGAGUUUCUCAAGUCAGCCAAAGCUCCCGUGUCUCUCUCUCUCUCUCCUUUCCACCCCCCCAUCAUCUCUCUUUUUUUUUUUCCAAAUCUCUCGUCUUUUUUCUCUGCCCUUCUCCUCCCGCCUCCUUUGCUUUUUAAAAGUGUGCGCCGUGUGUUGGGGAGUUACACAACCAGUCCGGGCGGAUUGCGCGCUGCAAAUGUGAGUUUCUCAAGUCAGCCAAAGCUCCCGUGUCUCUCUCUCUCUCUCCUUUCCACCCCCCCAUCAUCUCUCUUUUUUUUUUUCCAAAUCUCUCGUCUUUUUUCUCUGCCCUUCUCCUCCCGCCUCCUUUGCUUUUUAAAAGUGUUUCCCCCCCGCCUUUGCUGCUUUCUGGAAAGGGUUUUUUUUUGCUUGAUUCAUUUUAAAUAUAUAUAUACCUAUUGCUUGCUGGCAUCUCUGGGAAGGCGAGAAUCAAAGGAUGAUGUGGUUUAUCCUGCGGGAGCCUGGCAGAGCAUCGAAGUCUCCAGCUUCUUCUGGUCACCCAUCUCGUUAGACUCGAAGCUGGGAACCGUUUCUUCCUCAUCUGUAUUUUCAUGGUGUUAAUAAGGCAUACUUACCGUACCCUGUCAUCCUGGACUGAUGAAUCUAAGGGAUAGAACAGGUAAUUUAUAAUCUGAUUAUAGAUUUCCUUUUGGUGACUCAGGCAGCCUCCUUAAUCUGGUUCCCCUCAUUUCUUUUACUUUUUCUUUUCCUUUUUGGAUAAACAGGCUUUGUGCUUGCAGAAUCUACUCUGCUCUUUAAUUUGGAUCCCAGAGUCCGUCAACUGGAUCCAGGAGGAAAAGGGUGACUUGGGGGACACAUGUAAAACUUUAAAUGAAGUCAUAGAGCACUCCUGACCAAAUGCUAAUCCCCAAGGGUUGCUUUUUGUUUGUUUUGCUGUUAACAAAAUGUAACUCAAAAGCUUCUCAUGCCUGUAACUACCGGAGAAUUUCACAACUUUAGCUUUCAAGUACAUUUCUUGCAUGUUGUACUAAUGGUUCCCGGUGCCGUUUUGAAAGGUGUGAAAAUAAUAGGUGUGUAAUAACAACAAAAAACACAAGUAUGCAUCCAGAUAGACUAAUGUAACUACCGGAGAAUUUCACAACUUUAACUUUCAAGUACAUUUCUUGCAUGUUGUACUAAUGGUUCCCGGUGCCGUUUUGAAAGGUGUGAAAAUAAUAGGUGUGUAAUAACAACAAAAAACACAAGUAUGCAUCCAGAUACAGUCAGAGCAAUGUUAGAUACGAUUAUGGGCAGAAUGUUUGCAAAUGCAGAAUGUAACAACUCCAGAGGUGGAAUGCUCCAUUUUCGCUCAGGCCAUCUCCGGUCACAGUUAUGCAGGCUGGAGAUGAACCUGUUGAAAGGAAAGCGCCUCUUCCCUUCAAAUUCCUCAGUUUCACAUAACAGACGGUUCUGCACUUGGUUCAGAGCAAAGAAGUUACUGGCCUAUAAUUGUUUCGGAAACACCCAUGUUUUUCUUUUUAAGCAAAUAUAUGGGAAGAAAGUGCAGAUAUACAGACCUCUUUAAAUAUCGGUGAGUACACCUCUGGGAAGCCAUGUCUUAUUUUCCACAUUGGUGCAGUGUUAUCACUGAAGAUGAUCCCAGAGUUUUUUACCAAACUCCGAGAGGCAGUGGAAGAUAGGAGGGCCUGGCGUGCUCUGGUCUAUGGGGUCACAAAGAGUCAGACACGUCUUAAUGACUAAACAACAAUAAAUCACUGAAGAUAUUCCA
rnacentral:lncRNA from 1 species